rnacentral:rRNA from 1 species
UACAGAGGUGGCAAGCGUUGUUCGGAAUUACUGGGCGUAAAGGGCGCGUAGGCGGCCUUCUAAGUCGGACGUGAAAGCCCCAGGCUUAACCUGGGAACUGCGUCCGAUACUGGAAGGCUUGGAUUCGGGAGAGGGAUGUGGAAUUCCAGGUGUAGCGGUGAAAUGCGUAGAUAUCUGGAGGAACACCGGUGGCGAAGGCGGCAUCCUGGACCGAGAUCGACGCUGAGGCGCGAAAGCCAGGGGAGCAAACGGG